AUGUCUUGUAGAAUGCUUCGCCUGUCUGUAGGCGAAAUAUAAUACAACUUUCAACAACGGAUCUCUUGGCUCUCGCAUCGAUGAAGAACGCAGCGAAAUGCGAUAAGUAAUGUGAAUUGCAAAAUUCAGUGAAUCAUCGAAUCUUUGAACGCACCUUGCGCCCUUUGGUAUUCCGAAGGGCAUGCCUGUUUGAGUGUCAUGUUAUUCUCAAUCCCCUUGGUUUUUUGAAAUAAGACGACUGGGUUUGGUUUUGGAGGCUUAUGGAGGCUUCACAGUCGGCUCCUCUUGCAGGCAUUAGCUGGGCGUUUGCUCGAUGCAAUGUGUAAUAAUUAUCUUCAAAAGAGCAGCUUGUUGUCAAAGCUUGCUUCUAAUUCCAUCCAUCUGAGACAUUGUAAGGACUUUACUCCUUUGACAUUUUUGACCUCAAAUCAGGUAGGACUACC
rnacentral:rRNA from 1 species